rnacentral:tRNA from 1 species
CGAAAGGUGGCUGAGAGAAGGCGAUGGAUUGUAGCUCUGUUUACGGAAUUUUCCUCUUUUGA